rnacentral:rRNA from 1 species
AUUGAACGCUGGCGGCAUGCCUUACACAUGCAAGUCGAACGGAUUGAAGGGGCUUGCUCCUUCAGUUAGUGGCGAACGGGUGAGUAAAGCAUCGGAACGUACCCAGUCGUGGGGGAUAACGUAGCGAAAGUUACGCUAAUACCGCAUACGAUCUGAGGAUGAAAGCGGGGGAUCGCAAGACCUCGCGCGAUUGGAGCGGCCGAUGUCGGAUUAGCUAGUUGGUGAGGGAAAGGCUCACCAAGGCGACGAUCCGUAGCUGGUCUGAGAGGAUGGUCAGCCAUACUUGAACUGAGACACGGUCCAGACGCCGACGGGAGGCCGAAGUGGGGAAUUUUGGACAAUGGGGGAAACCCUGAUCCAGCCAUGCCGGGUGAGUGAAGAAGGCCUUCGGGUUGUAAAGCUCUUUCAGUCGGAAAGAAAAGGCUCCGGAUAAUACCUGGAGUUGAUGACGGUACCGACAGAAGAAGCACCGGCUAACUACGUGCCAGCCGCCGCAGUAA